AUGUAGCAAGUGGUAGUAACCAAAAUAAUUGGAGCAGUUAUUUCACAGGGAAUAAUAGGGGUAGGAGAAUGUUUUUGGCUAUUCUCUUCCAAAUAGGAGUAGAAUAAUUUUAGGUGGAUCUGGAGAUGGAAAUGAGUGGAUUUAUAUGGAUACAUACUUCUAGAGUAGAAGUAGCGUAUAUAAGUGGACGUGCAAGUGAAUCUUGAUUUCAACCGCAUGACAAGCUCCAAAGGGUCUACACAGCUUGACCACACUCAAUGCUCAUAAGCAGUAAAUGUAUGGUUCUUAGUCUAAUAAGCAUGUAUAUAUGGCUAUGGUAAGAAUUUAAACUCUCAU
rnacentral:lncRNA from 1 species